AGCAUCUCCGUAUCUGUUGGACCCCUCCUGCCUCCAUCUGCAGGACUGGAGCUGGGGGGGUGGGGGUGGGCGGCAGCGUGCUGGGACUCCUCCGUGUCUAGCUUCCAGCACUGGGCACAGAGGCAUCGGGAUGCGAGGGGAGCCCCGGGUUCUGGUCCCGCUCUGCCUCUGACAAUCCUGGGGAAAGCUGAGCGUCACUUUCCCAGCUGUACCACGGAGAGGGCGGUGGGGGGUUUGAUGAUACCUCGGCCCUGUGCCUUGUCCUACCUUCUGCUCCACCUCUGAUAAGCUGGUGCUGCCUUUUCCUCAGCAGGUCUGUUGACAUAAAUGUCACACACCAAACGACUCACCUCUUUAAAGUGUACGACUAGGGAGCUCCCUCCAUGGCUCAGUGGUUAACGUAUCUGACGAGCACCCAUGAGAACGCAGGUCUGAUCCCUGGCCUUGCUCAGUGGGUUAAGGAUCCAGCGUUGCUGUGAGCUGUGGUGUAGGCAGGCGGCUACAGCUCUGAUUCGACCCCUAACCUGGGAACCUCCAUAUGUCACAGGUGCGGCUCUAAAAAGAAAAGAAAACAAAACAAAACAAAGUGCGACUCAGUGAUUUCCGUGUAUGUUCACAGGGCUGUGCAGCCAUGACCACAGUGGAGAGAAUGUCAUUGUCACCCCCCAAAAAGAAGCACACGCUCCCUAGCAGUCUCUCUCUCUGCCCCCCACACCCCUGCCACUCAUCUAUUUUCCGUCUCUAUGGGUUGACCUGUUCUGGACAUUUCAUAGAAAAGGAAUUACGCAAUUUAUGGUCUUUUGUGUCUUCUUUCUUUCAUUCACCAUAAAGUUUCCAAGGUUCUUCUAAGUUGUGUAUUCACUCACUGGCGCUGUGUCCUUUUUAUGGUGAUAGGCUGGUUCUUUGAGGUCCGAGGCCCCUUUCUCUUCUGCUUGAUUAAGCUGCUCCAGGAGAGCUGUGUGUGUGGUCUGGGUCUCCUAGAGGUCCUUUGGUUUCAAUCCUGAUAUUAAAAAUGUCUCUCCAGGGGAGUUCCUGCUGUGGCCCAGUGGGUUAUGAUGCUGACUGCAGCAACUCAGGUUGCUGAAGAGGCAUUCUGACCCCCAGCCAGUGGGUUAAAGGAUCCAGCAUUUCAGCAGCUGUGGCGUAGCGGCAGCUCGGAUUCGACCCCUAGUUUGGGAACUUCCACAUGUUGAGGAAUGCAGCUGUAAAACAAACAAACAAACAAAGAAACAAAAAAAUGGGUCUUUUAAGGACUUCCCGGGUAGCCUAGUGGUUAAAGAUCUGGUGUCGUCACUGCUGUGGUGUGGAUUCAAUCCCUGGCCCAGGAACUUCUGUGUGCCACGGGGUGGCAUAAACAAAUAAGUAAAUAAAAGGUCUCUCCAAGGUCUUGCGGGCUUUCCUGAUGGGGGAGAGUGCUCUUCUUCCUCCUCUCUCCCCUCCUCCAGCCAGGCUGGACAGUCUGUGAUAGAAUAUGUAUCUUGGGAAUCUUUGCAGAAGCCUAUAUUCUCUUCUGUCCUGCAUGUGGAAGAUUAUUCUUUUGUUCUUUCAUUUGUUAAUUUAUCCAUCCAUCCAUCAUCCAUCCAUCACCCAUCCAUCAUCCAUCAUCCAUCCAUCAUCCACCCAUCCAUCCAUCCAUCAUCCAUCAUCCAUCCAUCCAUCAUCCAUCCAUCAUCCAUUCAUCAUCCAUCAUCUGUCCAUCCAUCUAUCAUUCCUCCAUCCAUCAUUCAUCCAUCUAUCCAUCCAUCAUUCAUCCACCCACCCAUUCAUUCAACCUCCAUCUAUCCAUCCAUCAUCUGUUCAUCCAUCCAUCAUCCAUCCAUUAUCCGCCCAUCCAUCUAUCAUUCCUCCAUCCAUCAUUCAUACAUCCAUCAAUCCAUCCAUUUUUAUCUUCAUUCAACACGUAUUUACUGAACACCAACAACAGGGCUGGGGGAAGAAUUGUGGAGGAAACAGACAUGAGGGGAGAGAAGAACAGGUGAUAAAUAGAAACAGGUGAAUGCAAGAAUUCCAACUGGAGUCAGUGAGGAGCCUGCAUAGACAAUGAUGUAGUAGGGGAAAGAGGAUGCGGUGUAGCCAUGGUCGCCCUGCCGCCCUGCCCACCUGAAACUCCACGGCCAGCCUUGACGCCAGCUCUGGUCUGCCUCUGCCCGUCUAUACCCUGCUCCCUUCCCCCCACACCUGCGAGCAAACGUCCUGAGAGCAAAUCACAGUCGUCACCUCACUGGAUCUGUGACUGCUCCAGCAUGGCGCUGAAAAACAAGGAAACCUUGAAAGGUCGACCAUUUCAUUUUAAAAGUCUGCCAUGAUCAUUCCUCCAAGUAAUAAACAGUAAUUCC
ensembl:lncRNA